rnacentral:rRNA from 1 species
AUACGUAGGGGGCGAGCGUUGUCCGGAAUUACUGGGCGUAAAGGGUGCGUAGGCGGGCUGUCAAGUCUGAUGUGAAAGGUUGCGGCUUAACCGUGAGAAGGCAUUGGAAACUGGCAGUCUUGAGUGCAGGAGAGGGAAGCGGAAUUCCCGGUGUAGCGGUGGAAUGCGUAGAUAUCGGGAGGAACACCAGUGGCGAAGGCGGCUUUCUGGACUGUAACUGACGCUGAGGCACGAAAGCUGGGGGAGCAAACAGGAUUAGAUACCCUGGUAGUCCCAGCCGUAAACGAUGGAUACUAGGUGUUGGCGGUUCAGACCGUCAGUGCCGGAGCUAACGUGAUAAGUAUCCCGCCUGGGGAGUACGGUCGCAAGACUGAA